GCGGGAAUAGCUCAGUUGGUAGAGCGAUACCUUGCCAAGGUAUAGGUCGCCGGUUCGAGUCCGGUUUCCCGCUCCA
rnacentral:tRNA from 1 species